rnacentral:rRNA from 1 species
GACGGCGUGCCUAAUACAUGCAAGUCGAGCGAACGGACGAGAAGCUUGCUUCUCUGAUGUUAGCGGCGGACGGGUGAGUAACACGUGGAUAACCUACCUAUAAGACUGGGAUAACUUCGGGAAACCGGAGCUAAUACCGGAUAAUAUUUUGAACCGCAUGGUUCAAAAGUGAAAGACGGUCUUGCUGUCACUUAUAGAUGGAUCCGCGCUGCAUUAGCUAGUUGGUAAGGUAACGGCUUACCAAGGCAACGAUGCAUAGCCGACCUGAGAGGGUGAUCGGCCACACUGGAACUGAGACACGGUCCAGACUCCUACGGGAGGCAGCAGUAGGGAAUCUUCCGCAAUGGGCGAAAGCCUGACGGAGCAACGCCGCGUGAGUGAUGAAGGUCUUCGGAUCGUAAAACUCUGUUAUUAGGGAAGAACAUAUGUGUAAGUAACUGUGCACAUCUUGACGGUACCUAAUCAGAAAGCCACGGCUAACUACGUG